CGCCGGCUCGGGCUCUCGGCGCGGCGAAGUAGCUUCCCGCGGCGGCGGCGGCGGCGGCGGCGGCGGCGGGCGAUGCUGCGGGUCUCCCCAGGCGCCGGUGUCCUGGCCUCUUCCUAAAGAACGAAGAACAAACUAAAUUCAUCUCAAAAUGAUUAUAAAUCAUCAAGACGGAGUAGUCUGCCACCUGAACUACUCAUAGGAAAUGACAUUAGAGGAAGACUUCAAAGAAACUUGAAAAAUUUGGAACCUAUUCACCUGAGGCGCCCGAAAAAGAGACCGUCCAUAUUUCCAGGUGCCAAAGGAGGGAAAACAAUGUGUUGGACCGUAUCCAAUUAGGAUAAAAACUAUAGGAGGUGGAUGAAGCCUACAACUUUGAUUUCUGAAAGAGAUUAAGUCUGGGUGGGCAAAGGUGAUGGUGUCCCAAAGGACGGAGGUGGUGGGACAUCUGGGGAGGUGCUGAGCCAUUCUCCAGUCACAUAUGAGUGGUCUUCU